rnacentral:rRNA from 1 species
UACGGAGGGUGCAAACGUUGCUCGGAAUCAUUGGGCGUAAAGCGCACGUAGGCGGUCCGGUAAGUCGGGUGUGAAAGCCCUCGGCUCAACCGAGGAAGUGCAUUCGAAACUACCGGACUUGAGUAUGGAAGAGGGUCGCGGAAUUCCCGGUGUAGAGGUGAAAUUCGUAGAUAUCGGGAGGAACACCAGUGGCGAAGGCGGCGACCUGGGCCAAUACUGACGCUGAGGUGCGAAAGCCAGGGGAGCAAACGGG